rnacentral:rRNA from 1 species
GUGCCAGCCGCCGCGGUAAUACAGAGGUCCCAAGCGUUGUUCGGAUUCACUGGGCGUAAAGGGUGCGUAGGUGGUGGGGUAAGUCGGAUGUGAAAGCUCGGAGCUUAACUCCGAAAUGGCAUUGGAAACUACCCUGCUAGAGGUUCGGAGGGGGGACUGGAAUUCUCGGUGUAGCAGUGAAAUGCGUAGAUAUCGAGAGGAACACCAGUGGCGAAGGCGAGUCCCUGGACGACACCUGACACUGAGGCACGAAAGCUAGGGGAGCAAACAGGAUUAGAUACCCCAGUAGUCC